rfam:Myotis lucifugus cont2.3357, whole genome shotgun sequence.
CAGGGGGUGGGGGAGUCCCUCAGCCCUGAUUUCGAGAGUGUGCAGGCCAGGCCGAGGGACCCCUCUGGUGCACG